GUCUGAGUUGUUGUCACAGCCUGCUGGGCACAGCCAGCAGGCAGCCGCCACAGAGACCUGUUCAAUCAUAUCUACCUGGCUGUCCACCAGCGCCCUCGGAACUGGCAGUUCCCAAGAGGACGGUCAGGGCCAGACCCAUCCCCCAGAUGAUCCCAGCUUCCUGCAGGCCCAACCCACUAUGUGGACAGCAAAGCAGCCCCCUGCAAAGCUCCUCAUGUGCAUGGACUCCGUAAAUCUUCAUGACUUCCAAGGGAGAGAUGGCAUUGUUCCCUCAUUUUUUGAUGAGGAAACCAAGACUUUAGGGAAAGCAGUUCAAAAACAUAUCACCAGACAAUUCACGGCAGAGGAAAUCAAAAUUGCCUAUCAAGCUUAGGCCAAGUUGCCCAACCUCACAAACUGUCAAGGAAACGCGACUUCAUUGGUCAUGAAAUACCAUUUUUCAUCCAUCAGAGGAGCAGAUGACAAAAAGGGCAAUGACUUCCAAUGCCAGCCUGAAUAUGGAAAACCUGGAGCUCACGUGCCUUGUGAAGGAGCAUGAAUUGCUGCAAAUUUUAUGGGCAU
rnacentral:lncRNA from 1 species